CCCUUAGAUGCUCUGGGCCGCACGCGCGCUACACUGAUGCAUUCAACGAGCACACGCUUGGCCGAGAGGUCAGGCUAAUCUUUGAACGUGCAUCGUGCUGGGGAUAGAUGAUUGCAAUUAUUCAUCUUCAACGAGGAAUUCCUAGUAAACGCAAGUCAUCAGCUUGCAUUGAUUACGUCCCUGCCCUUUGUACACACCGCCCGUCGCACCUACCGAUUGAAUGGUCCGGUGAAAUUCUCGGACGCGAACGACAGAUGUUCAUUCGGAUGUUGUUUGUGAAAGUUAAUUAAACCUUACCAUUUAGAGGAAGGUGAAGUCGUANCA
rnacentral:rRNA from 1 species